UAUUCAAGGAUCGUGGUUUUCUACAGUAAAUGUGCAUCUUUCCAGACAGAAGUUCCCAGACUGUGUUGUAUAUACUGCUAGUGGAGCUGGAACAAUUUCAGACUGGCUCUGCUCAUGACAAUCCCUAAAUCAAUUAAAAUUAGGAAUCUUUCUUGAAAUGGAAUUAAUACAGCUUGCUGGUAGCAGCCAAGGGAGCAGGUCUAGCUCUGUCUAUACUAAGUCUGUCUGUCUUUGAAAACAUGGACACACAAGCAUUUACCAGCUGAUCACCAGUGGCUGAUGACCAGCCUACACGAAGCAUUCGUUUUGUUCUUGAUUCAAUGUUCUUCAUAAAAUCAAUCCAAGUUAACAGCAUUUAAAAUGCCAUUCAAGCAAAAAUGAAACCUAAAAACAUAGAAAUGGGAGUCAAGUAAUAACAGAUACUAUGAGUCUUGCAGAACAAAUUAUAAGUCUGUAUCCUUUUUUUGGAAGAAAGAUGUGCAGCUGUACUAAGAACAAAAGAUAUGUAUGCUAAGGUGGAAAAGAAAAAGCAGAACCUAAGCACAAGCUUACACAAUUCUGAUCUUUGCUUACUUCCUUCAAUAUUUAGAAAAGAAACUGCACAUACAGGCUGAUGACAGGAUCAAGUCAACAUGAGUUUAAUCUUGAUUUCAGCUGAUACAUGUUUAAGACUUAAGACAAAAAAUAAAAUAAAAUAAAAAAAUACUACUAUGCUAGCUCCUCACAAAAUCUUUAUAUAUGACAGCAAUGAAAAAAUGUAUCUCUGAGUGAUACUCCAAAGUAUCUUAAAAUUAACUUUUGAGCUAAGGAGGAAAACUGCAUUAUUUCUCAGAAUUGCAGAGUUGCAGACUGUUUGAGAUUGGAAGGGACCUCUGGAGACCAUCUGGUCCAACCCCACUGGUCAAACAGAGCAACCUAGAGCUGCUUGCCCAGGACUGAUGUCCAGACAACUUUUGAAGAUCACCAUGGAGAAAGACUCAACUGCUCUGCACAACCUGUGCCAGUGUUUUUUCAACUUCACAGUAAAGUGUUUCCUGGUGUUCAGAUGGAAUUUCCUGUUUUCCAGUUUGUGCCCGUUGCCUCUCAUCCUGGCACUGAACACCACUGGAAAGAGCCUGGGUCCAUUCUCCAUCCCUCCUCCCCCAUGACGUUUUCCUCCAGUCCUCAGGCAUUUCUCUCGUUCACCGUGAUCUUUGAAGAUAAUUGAGAGUGGUCUUGCAAAGACAUCACCCAGCUCCCUCAGCACUUGUGGGUGCAUGAGGACCCAUGGACAUAUGUACUGCUGGUUUGUUUAAGUAUUCUCUGACCUGAUUCUCUUCAACCAAGGGUACAUCUUCACUCCAGACUUUCCCCUAUGGUCACUGGGACCUGGGAUUUCUGAAGCCCAGUCUUGCUAUUAAAGAAUGAGGUGAAGAAGAUAUUCAUUAACUCAGUCCUUUCCAAGUCAUGUGCCACCAGAGCCCCUAUCCCAUUCACCACAUGCUUAUGUUUUUCCUUGCCUUCCUUUUGCCACUUAUCUACUUACAGAAGCUCUUGUUGUCUUUGAUAUCCCUUGUCAAAUUAUUUUGUUCUGCUGGAGCCUAAAAUAUUCAGUACUAAUUCUGGAAUGUAAAGUUAAGAAUGCAUUUGUGCCAAAUAAAUAAAUCAAUAAACAAAUAAAAAUUGCUAAUUUGUAAUUUGAUGGGGUUUUUCCUUGCUUCUUGCAGCAUUUGACUCUCCUGUGUAGCUUUUUUGUGUCAUUGGUGGUUGUUCCAUCUGCUUGCAAGAUACUGUGUGCAGAUAUUAAGGACACUAUGUUCUGACAUGUCAGACAACCGUUAUUUCAAGGAACAUGACCACUUACACCCCACCAGUCUCAAGAUGCAGACAAUGAUUUAGAGUUAACAAGUCUCCCCUGAUGGUUUGAAAGCCUGCUCUAAGCACAUUCAGCAAGCAAGGCCAGGCCUUGCACCCCCUGGGCAAUUCACAUGGGUGAAUUAUCUCAUAGAGUACAGUUAUUCAUAUUGUUAAACAAUGCGAGGAAGCAGUAAGAAGUUAACCCAGAAGUUGAAAUUUUAUACUCUUCUUUCCUUAGGAAACAAACUAGCAAAACAAAACAAAACAAAACAAAACAAAACAAAACAAAAAGAAGAACAAAGGAAACUCACAGGGAGGAACAAAGGACUAGGAGAGAUUACAUGAAUCAUCAGGUUCAUCCCCUAUCCACAACCAGGUAAUCUUCAGAGUAUUUCCCAAUACCUUAUAAUAAUUUUCAGACCUUUGCUACAAAAGGAGCUGAAGACAAUAUUCUUGUCUUGGCAUGUCCCCAUAUCAGAGGUUUUGUAUUUUCAAAAAAAAAAAAAAAAGAUCCUUCCUAAUCUCACCUAGGGGAAAUUCCUUCCAGAACCUAUGUCAGUCAACCUAACUUUGGUUAUUGGAGCAAAAGGCAGCAGACAGGCAUGAGAGAAAUGUUUUCAGCCCAAGCUGACUCAUAGUCCUAGAUCAGUAUGAAGGAAUGAGAGACCAGGGAAAGAAAAGAAAUUUGUCCUUCCACCCACCAGGUGCUGGUGGGAACAGAGAGAGGUACAUGCUCUUUGCCUCUUUGUUAUUUUGGAGAAAGCAGAACUCACAAGCCACAUUAAGACCGUAUCCUACACAUCCCAAGAAUAUUUCUCCCAUCAGAGCAUGGGGCAUAUGCUGUUUACCAGCAGUCAUGUGCAGUUGUCAGUAAGCUCUGAUCUUCCUGACAUUUUGUGUUUCCCUAUAUUUAUCACUGCAGCUACGUUUCACAGUGCCAAUGAGAAAAUCGAUGUACCAAGCAUUUCAGCUGCAAAAGCACCAGUGCAAGGCUCAGACAGCUGAUCUCAGAGCUACUCUGGGACCCCAAAUAAAAGGUAAGUAUCUGCUCCCAGACCCACUAGAUGGCACUGUGUAUGGCUGGUACCAGCCCUUACAAACCUGAGGCAGAGUUUGGUGUGAGCCCAGCAGCUGCAACCUCAGAUGGGUGGCUUUGAUUUCCAGCACAAGUCUCUUAGCCUGGAACCUCAUGCAGCUGUUCUGCCCCUUCAGCAAUUUUCGGGAUCCCUCAGUCACUCUAAAUUAGUGCUCUUUCAAAUGACUACCAGUAUUUUUUUAUAUUAUUUUUUACUUUUCUCCAGAAGCUCCAAGGUUAUAUUUUUCCAGUUCCUGGACCUUGCCCAAAACAUUCCAGAGGUUUCAAGAAAUAUUUAGAAAGUCAGUAAGUCUGAGUAUCCUGUCUAGCUGAUGUGCAGUGCAUGUGUGAGUGGAAGGGUGCAGCCUUCAACCAAGCCUCCCAGAAGUACUGCAGAUUACAGGAAUUUUGAUGUGACCCUAACUUUCCAUCUUGGCUACACCAGUUCUUCUCUAUGGGAUCAGUUUGUAUCCCAGUGAAAUUAGUGAGGGGGUUCCACUGAGAUCACUGAGGGUUGGUUAGGGGCCUCUGCCAGGUUUCCAAACACUGAAGAAAAGUGUGCUGACAUUUGGUAAAUCUUUCCCCCUUUUCUGAUCAAGAUUUCUACUCUUACUGUGAGCAGGGUUUGCUGGUUUAUGCUCACAAUGAAAACUGAUGGGACUGUCGGGAAAACUGAUGGGGCUGCCAUUUUCAGUUUGGCUAGCAGGAGUUUUGCCAAAUACAUUUUUCUAAAUGAAAUGGGAGUUAAAAUCCCUCUGUCUCUCUGCUUCUUGCUGUCUCCAGUUUUUAAAAGUUUCUCUUGUAUUGCAGCUUCAGCAGCAACCUGAGCAUCAUUUUGAGCCUUUUUUAAGUCCUUGGAACAUAGCUUUGCCUCUCCCUAAGCAAAAGUGCUGUUUGAAACAUCUCCUUUUUGUCCUCUCACAUCAUUAUUUACUCUAAUAAAGUGCAUUAGGCAUUUUCCAAUUGUGCCAUUCAAGAUUCAGCCACAAACUGAUCUAUAAACCAUAUGCGAAAUGUACAAGUUAAACAAACAUCAUCAAUUCCCAGGCCUCACACAUUUGAAGCAGUCCCUCACAGAGAGCUUCCAUGGCUAGGUGGUGUCGGUCAGCAAAGCACUGUGAAGAAGGUCAAAUAUGCUUGUCAAGCACUGAGUUGCUAGUUAUUGCCUCUUGUUUGAGGUCUCCAGACACAGUAGUCAGUAACUGACUGUGUGAGGGUCCUUAGUCCUCUCUCAUAUGGAAACCAUGGCCCCCAGGGAGUAGGAGAUAUAAGCCCUGGAUAGCAAGUGUAAGUUGGAGAGCAUGAAGUGCAAAGCAACUGUGUGAGACUGGACGGCACUGGAAAUGGAGUUCUGUGCCCGUCACCAUGUCACAGGGUGACUGCAGGUAAAGCUCCUAAAAGAGGCAGGGAGAACAUAAUGUCAAUGGCUUGGUUUGGUCUCAUUCUUUUUAUUUAUUUAUUUUUUAGUUCUGUAUCUGACUGCCUCCAGGUGUGUCUGGAGCUGGCACAAAAUACAACAGUGUCAUGAGGAACUCCAGAAAUUUAGAGGUGUAUCUGAACACAUAGUUCAGGGUUACAACUGAGUGAGUGCAUACUACAUCAUAACUGUACAGAUUUUUUUAACUGGCAUUCGCAACAACAAGACAAAAUUUAAAAAGAAAAAUCAAUGUGUGUAGUCAGGUUUCCAAACGAAGAAUAGUUUGUAGUAGUUGUUUCACCUAGUAUGACCCGGAUUUGAGCAUGAUGAGUUUUUAUAAGCUCAGCUGAGCUAUACCUACUGUAGGACCUUAAGAAGGAAUUCUUGGGGAGUUUGACCUCCAAAUGCAGGAUAAAGUAGUUUCAGGGUUGCUUUAACUUACACAGAUUAGGAAUAAAUCCCAGGAGGUAUUAAAGAAGAACAUGUUCUGGCUUUUACCUAUCCCACAGGAUAUGAUUUACUGUUCAGGUACAGAAAAAAAAAAAAAAAAAAAAAAAAAAA